AGUACAGUUGGAUUGGAAGGAUCGAAAGAUCCAUCAGGGUUUCUGUGGAGAUCCUAUAUAUGAGUACUAAGAGAGUCGGCUAGGAGUUCGGAAGAGAGCUGCGAGAGCAAAUUAUUUGAAGGUGGUUGAAAAACUGUCAUUUUCAAUUUGAAAAAAAAUUUAGAAGAUUACACCUUUGAAAACUCAAGGAUAGUAAAACUUCUUGGGUCACCUCAUUUUGGACGUUUGACAGUUUUUU
ensembl:snoRNA C01B10.48 ncRNA